CCGCCGGAGACAACGUUGACUCGGAUCACCUCACGCGGCAGCGCCCCGAGGCCACGCCCCCUCCAGGGCCGUCCCUCCACCUCAGCUAAACUGCUUUGCCCAUUCUCCUUGUCUCUAGGCCAUGUGACCUGUUCUGACUAAUGGAACUUGAGCAGAAGCAGAGUUUCAUUUCUGGAUCUAGGCAACUAAGAACAGAUCAUCAGAACUAGAAAGAGAGUGUCAAAUGCCUGGUGACAAGUCUUCAGCCUCACUGGCUUAACUGGAGCUUAUGUGAGAAGGAAAAGAAUUUGAGCCUGAACAAAGAAACUCUAAAGUUUCUUCCAACUCUCUUAUCAAAAGAGGCAUCCUGGCCAAUAGCUCUCAACCUAGAGUAAAGCUCCCAUGUACCAUAUGGAGUGUCCUUGCUACGAUUCCAUCCU